AAAGCAGUCCUGCACUUCCAGUUGUGAGCCAAGAGCCAAGUGUGGGAGCUCACUAUGGUGGCAGCCACCUCCCCACCAAGCAGGCAGCGUUCACCAGAGGGGAGUAUCAGGUUCCUGUACUCAGCUGUGGGUUGUCACCGUCUAAUAAUAUGACCGUUUUGCCAUCUCUCUGCAAAUGAGGCUGAAGCUGCUAUCUGAUUGCUUUUUGCAAUCUUUGCAUUUGCAACAUGCGGUGGCUAUUCCGGAGGCCUGCGGCUGAGUGUGGACUGUGUCAACAAGACAGAAAGUAACCUCAGCAUCGACAUAGCGUUUGCCUACCCAUUCAGGUUGCAUCAGGUGACGUUUGAGGUGCCCACCUGCGAGGGAAAGGAACGGCAGAAGCUGGCAUUGAUUGGUGACUCCUCGUCUUCAGCAGAGUUCUUCGUCACUGUUGCUGUCUUCGCCUUCCUCUACUCUUUGGCUGCCACUGUCGUUUACAUUUUCUUCCAGAACAAAUACCGGGAAAA
rnacentral:sRNA from 1 species